rnacentral:lncRNA from 1 species
GACAACAAGCAACCCCAGACUAGAGACAGGAUCCUUCUCCCCACUUCGAGCAGAUCCCAGCAUGAAUCCUGCAGUAUGGUGAUGGCAAAAGUCAGUGCAGGACCACUGGGACUCCUGGAGCUUCUCACAUCUCUGAGAGCACCAGCAGCAGUCCCCAGAUAGCAGAUGACUGGUAGGAAGAUGAGGCAAGUUUGCGGUCCAUUGUCAUGGAUAGUGGAGACAACACUGGGCCAGAAGUGAUUUCAGCAUGGUGAAGGAAAAGUAGCAGAAGACUGAAUGCAUACUCAGUUUUCAAGCUCUGGAUUUAAUCUUUCCAUAGCUGGA